rnacentral:lncRNA from 10 species
GCCCCGCCUCCGCACCGACCACGCCCCUAGAUAGCCCAGCCCCUUCCGCUUCGGGCUCGCUGACUUCCGGCUUAGGGCCGAGGGUGGGGAACUGCCGGGCGCGGAAGCGAUGGGCAUAUCUGUGGCUUAUUUUCAGCACUGUCGCGCAGACAGUGGCGCGAUCUCAGCUCACUGCAGCCCCCGCCUGCCGGGCUCCCAAGGUGCUGGGAUUACAGCAGCACCGCGGAUGUGACGUUUGGUGUUCCUGUGAACGUGGGGCGGGGCGGGGCCGUUUGCUUGCUCAGUGCCUAGACGAUGGUGGUGGAAAGACGCUUCUGUGGGUUAGGUCCUAACGGUUAGGAAGGAUUCACAGGCGGGUCAUGAGGAAGGAGCAGACCCCUCGGGCAGAAGCCCGCGAGGAGCACUGGGUGUGGUGGGGGCAGGGGUGCCUCCUCUGUCAAGUGGAGAUCGGCGCCUCGCUCGUGCCUGCGAGUGCGCGCCGCGUCGAAUACAGCCGUACAGAACGCACUACAGGAAAGUGAAGCCGGGAGAGAGACUGGGAGGCGGCGCGGGGACUGGGGGCCGUAGACGCCUUUGCUCCCGGGCACUUGUUAGAAGAGCGAGUGGAUCGCGCUUCCUGUGCGUCACUGAAUCCUCAUGACGGCCACUGAAACGGACACGCAGGAUCUUUGCUUUUCAAGAGGGAACUGAGUCCAGGCCAGACUGGGUUGCUCCCCUUUCUCUCGGCCCCUCCACCUUUGCAAGUGCUGCUCCUUCUGCCUGGAGUGGCUCCUCCAGUCUUUUCCCGGCUCACUUCCCACCGUCCGGUGUCAGCAAAAACAGCACUUCCUCACAGCCCGUUGCAGCCCAGCAGUCGCCUUUUGCUUCUUUUGAAGCACAGCCCUGUGACCGCCUCGUGUCCUUUUGUUUUUCCUUGUCCCCCUUCCCCUCUGGAACAUAAGCUCCACAAAGGCAGGGACCUGGGAAUCCCGUUCGCCUGCAUUCCCCAGCAAACGCCUAACGAACCCAAUGGCCCAGGACUGAAAAUUCCUUUCCACUUCGGCUUUCCCCUCUACAUCCCAUCGGUUCUGUGGAGCUCGAGGGGCGUCACUGUGUGUGUG